rnacentral:rRNA from 1 species
AGAGUUUGAUCCUGGCUCAGGAUGAACGCUAGCGGCAGGCUUAACACAUGCAAGUCGAGGGGCAGCGGGAUGUAGCAAUACAUUGCCGGCGACCGGCGGAUGGGUGCGUAACGCGUAUGCAACCUACCUUAUACAGGGGAAUAACCUUUCGAAAGGGAGACUAACACCCCAUAGUAUUGAUUUAAGGCAUCUUAGAUUAAUUAAAUAUUUAUAGGUAUAAGAUGGGCAUGCGUAUGAUUAGCUAGUUGGUAAGGUAACGGCUUACCAAGGCGACGAUCAUUAGGGGUUCUGAGAGGAAGGUCCCCACACUGGUACUGAGACACGGACCAGACUCCUACGGGAGGCAGCAGUGAGGAAUAUUGGUCAAUGGGCGCAAGCCUGAACCAGCCAUGCCGCGUGCAAGGAAGACGGCCUUAUGGGUUGUAAACUGCUUUUACAUAAGACUAACCGUAUAUUUGCGAAUAUACCUGAAUGUAUUAUGAGAAUAAGGAUCGGCUAACUCCGUGCCAGCCGCGGC